rnacentral:rRNA from 1 species
AGAGUUUGAUCCUGGCUCAGGAUGAACGCUAGCGGCAGGCUUAAUACAUGCAAGUCGAACGGGAUCCGAGGUAGCAAUACUUUGGUGAGAGUGGCGCACGGGUGCGUAACGCGUAUGCAACCUACCUUUAACUGGGACACAACCCGCCGAAAGGCAGGCUAAUAUCCCAUAACAUUGCGAUGUGGCAUCACAUUGCAAUUAAAGCUCCGGCGGUUAUAGAUGGGCAUGCGUGACAUUAGCUAGUUGGUAAGGUAACGGCUUACCAAGGCUUCGAUGUCUAGGGGUUCUGAGAGGAUUAUCCCCCACACUGGUACUGAGACACGGACCAGACUCCUACGGGAGGCAGCAGUAAGGAAUAUUGGGCAAUGGACGCAAGUCUGACCCAGCCAUGCCGCGUGAAGGAUGAAGGCCCUAUGGGUUGUAAACUUCUUUUAUACGGGAAAAAACCUUCGGUCGUGAACCGGAGCUGAUGGUACCGUAAGAAUAAGCAUCGGCUAACUCCGUGCCAGCAGCCGCGGUAAUACGGAGGAUGCAAGCGUUAUCCGGAUUCAUUGGGUUUAAAGGGUGCGCAGGCGGAGUGAUAAGUCAGUGGUGAAAUCCUACGGCUCAACUGUAGAACUGCCAUUGAUACUGUCAUUCUUGAGUACUGUUGAGGUGGGCGGAAUGUGUCAUGUAGCGGUGAAAUGCUUAGAUAUGACACAGAACACCGAUCGCGAAGGCAGCUCACCAAGCAGAAACUGACGCUCAUGCACGAAAGCGUGGGGAUCAAACAGGAUUAGAUACCCUGGUAGUCC